rnacentral:rRNA from 1 species
AUUGAACGCUGGCGGCAUGCUUUACACAUGCAAGUCGAACGGUAACAGGCCGCAAGGUGCUGACGAGUGGCGAACGGGUGAGUAAUGCAUCGGAACGUGCCCAGUCGUGGGGGAUAACGCAGCGAAGGCUGCGCUAAUACCGCAUACGAUCUAUGGAUGAAAGCGGGGGACCGUAAGGCCUCGCGCGAUUGGAGCGGCCGAUGUCAGAUUAGGUAGUUGGUGGGGUAAAGGCUCACCAAGCCAACGAUCUGUAGCUGGUCUGAGAGGACGACCAGCCACACUGGAACUGAGAGACGGCCAAGACUCCUACGGGAGGCAGCAGUGGGGAAUUUUGGACAAUGGGCGCAAGCCUGAUCCAGCAAUGCCGCGUGCAGGAAGAAGGCCUUCGGGUUGUAAACUGCUUUUGUACGGAACGAAACGGCUCUGGUUAAUACCUGGGGCUAAUGACGGUACCGUAAGAAUAAGCACCGGCUAACUACGUGCCAGCCGCCGCAGUAAUAC